UACGUAGGGGGCAAGCGUUGUCCGGAAUCAUUGGGCGUAAAGAGCGUGUAGGCGGCUUGGUAAGUCCGCUGUGAAAGUCCAGGGCUCAACCCUGGAAUGCCGGUGGAAACUGUCAAGCUUGAGUCCGGAAGAGGCGAGUGGAAUUCCUGGUGUAGCGGUGAAAUGCGCAGAUAUCAGGAGGAACACCAAUGGCGAAGGCAGCUCGCUGGGACGGUACUGACGCUGAGACGCGAAAGCGUGGGGAUCAAACAGG
rnacentral:rRNA from 1 species